GACGAACGCUGGCGGCGUGCCUAAUACAUGCAAGUCGAACGAACUCUGGUAUUGAUUGGUGCUUGCAUCAUGAUUUACAUUUGAGUGAGUGGCGAACUGGUGAGUAACACGUGGGAAACCUGCCCAGAAGCGGGGGAUAACACCUGGAAACAGAUGCUAAUACCGCAUAACAACUUGGACCGCAUGGUCCGAGUUUGAAAGAUGGCUUCGGCUAUCACUUUUGGAUGGUCCCGCGGCGUAUUAGCUAGAUGGUGGGGUAACGGCUCACCAUGGCAAUGAUACGUAGCCGACCUGAGAGGGUAAUCGGCCACAUUGGGACUGAGACACGGCCCAAACUCCUACGGGAGGCAGCAGUAGGGAAUCUUCCACAAUGGACGAAAGUCUGAUGGAGCAACGCCGCGUGAGUGAAGAAGGGUUUCGGCUCGUAAAACUCUGUUGUUAAAGAAGAACAUAUCUGAGAGUAACUGUUCAGGUAUUGACGGUAUUUAACCAGAAAGCCACGGCUAACUACGUGCCAGCAGCCGCGGUAAUACGUAGGUGGCAAGCGUUGUCCGGAUUUAUUGGGCGUAAAGCGAGCGCAGGCGGUUUUUUAAGUCUGAUGUGAAAGCCUUCGGCUCAACCGAAGAAGUGCAUCGGAAACUGGGAAACUUGAGUGCAGAAGAGGACAGUGGAACUCCAUGUGUAGCGGUGAAAUGCGUAGAUAUAUGGAAGAACACCAGUGGCGAAGGCGGCUGUCUGGUCUGUAACUGACGCUGAGGCUCGAAAGUAUGGGUAGCAAACAGGAUUAGAUACCCUGGUAGUCCAUACCGUAAACGAUGAAUGCUAAGUGUUGGAGGGUUUCCGCCCUUCAGUGCUGCAGCUAACGCAUUAAGCAUUCCGCCUGGGGAGUACGGCCGCAAGGCUGAAACUCAAAGGAAUUGACGGGGGCCCGCACAAGCGGUGGAGCAUGUGGUUUAAUUCGAAGCUACGCGAAGAACCUUACCAGGUCUUGACAUACUAUGCAAAUCUAAGAGAUUAGACGUUCCCUUCGGGGACAUGGAUACAGGUGGUGCAUGGUUGUCGUCAGCUCGUGUCGUGAGAUGUUGGGUUAAGUCCCGCAACGAGCGCAACCCUUAUUAUCAGUUGCCAGCAUUAAGUUGGGCACUCUGGUGAGACUGCCGGUGACAAACCGGAGGAAGGUGGGGAUGACGUCAAAUCAUCAUGCCCCUUAUGACCUGGGCUACGCACGUGCUACAAUGGAUGGUACAACGAGUUGCGAACUCGCGAGAGUAAGCUAAUCUCUUAAAGCCAUUCUCAGUUCGGAUUGUAGGCUGCAACUCGCCUACAUGAGGUCGGAAUCGCUAGUAAUCGCGGAUCAGCAUGCCGCGGUGAAUACGUUCCCGGGCCUUGUACACACCGCCCGUCACACCAUGAGAGUUUGUAACACCCAAAGUCGGUGGGGUAACCUUUUAGGAACCAGCCGCCUAAGGUGGGACAGAUGAUUAGGGUG
rnacentral:rRNA from 1 species